UGUUCCUACGGGGGGCAGCAGUGGGGAAUAUUGGGCAAUGGGCGCAAGCCUGACCCAGCAACGCCGCGUGAAGGAAGAAGGCUUUCGGGUUGUAAACUUCUUUUGUCAGGGACGAAGCAAGUGACGGUACCUGACGAAUAAGCCACGGCUAACUACGUGCCAGCAGCCGCGGUAAUACGUAGGUGGCAAGCGUUAUCCGGAUUUACUGGGUGUAAAGGGCGUGUAGGCGGGGAGGCAAGUCAGAUGUGAAAACCACGGGCUCAACCUGUGGCCUGCAUUUGAAACUGUUUUUC
rnacentral:rRNA from 1 species